rnacentral:rRNA from 1 species
AUUGAACGCUGGCGGAAUGCUUUACACAUGCAAGUCGAACGGCAGCACGGGGGCAACCCUGGUGGCGAGUGGCGAACGGGUGAGUAAUACAUCGGAACGUGCCCAGUCGUGGGGGAUAACGUAGCGAAAGUUACGCUAAUACCGCAUACGAUCUACGGAUGAAAGCGGGGGACCAUAAGGCCUCGCGCGAUUGGAGCGGCCGAUGUCCGAUUAGGUAGUUGGUGAGGUAAAGGCUCACCAAGCCGACGAUCUGUAGCUGGUCUGAGAGGACGACCAGCCACACUGGGACUGAGACACGGCCCAGACUCCUACGGGAGGCAGCAGUGGGGAAUUUUGGACAAUGGGCGCAAGCCUGAUCCAGCCAUUCCGCGUGCAGGACGAAGGCCUUCGGGUUGUAAACUGCUUUUGUACGGAACGAAAAGGCUCUGGUUAAUACCUGGGGCUCAUGACGGUACCGUAAGAAUAAGCACCGGCUAACUACGUGCCAGCAGCCGCGGUAA